rnacentral:sRNA from 1 species
AUUUCACGCAUCAGGCCCCAGGGCUCAGCUUCCGCCUUCGGCUUCCCCUUCUGCCAAGAGCCCUGAGCCACUCACAGCACGACCAGAGAAUAGGCCUGUCUCAGGCAAGUCCUGUGCCUCCUAUGCCGAGAUGCUACUGCCACUGCUGCUGUCCUCGCUGCUGGGCGCCCUGACUCAGAAGCCUGAUGUCUACAUCCCCGAGACCCUGGAGCCCGGGCAGCCGGUGAUGGUCAUCUGUGUGUUUAACUGGUCCUUUGAGGAAUGUCCACCCCCUUCUUUCUCCUGGACGGGGGCUGCCCUCUCCUCCCAAGGAACCAAACCAACGACCUCCCACUUCUCAGUGCUCAGCUUCACGCCCAGCCCCCAGGACCACAACACCGACCUCACCUGCCAUGUGGACUUCUCCAGAAAGGGUGUGAGCGCACAGAGGACGGUCCGACUCCGCGUGGCCUAUGCCCCCAGAGACCUUGUUAUCAGCAUUUCACGUGACAACACGCCAGGUACUGAGGGCCGUCGGGCUGGGGCUGGGCCAGUUGUCUUUAGAUGAAAAGUCUUCAGGGGAUGAGGGGAUGUGCUCCUCCCUGUACCCCUUCUCUCUUUCUCCCUCCCUUUCUCUCUUUUUUUUUUUUCCUCCCAUUCCAGCCCUGGAGCCCCAGCCCCAGGGAAAUGUCCCAUACCUGGAAGCCCAGAAAGGCCAGUUCCUGCGGCUCCUCUGUGCUGCUGACAGCCAGCCCCCUGCCACACUGAGCUGGGUCCUGCAGGAUAGAGUCCUCUCCUCGUCCCAUCCCUGGGGCCCCAGACCCCUGGGGCUGGAGCUGCCCGGGGUGAAGGCUGGGGAUUCAGGGCGCUACACCUGCCGAGCGGAGAACAGGCUUGGCUCUCAGCAGCGAGCCCUGGACCUCUCUGUGCAGUAUCCUCCAGAGAACCUGAGAGUGAUGGUUUCCCAGGCAAACAGGACAGUCCUGGAAAACCUUGGGAAUGGCACGUCUGUCCCAGUCCUGGAGGGCCAAAGCCUGCGCCUGGUCUGUGUCACCCACAGCAGCCCCCCAGCCAGGCUGAGCUGGACCCGGGGGGGACAGAUUCUGAGCCCCUCCCAGUCCUCAGACCCCGGGGUCCUGGAGCUGCCUCGGGUUCAAAUGGAGCACGAAGGAGAGUUCACCUGCCAGGCUUGGCACCCACUGGGCUCCCAGCUCGUCUCUCUCAGCCUCUCCGUGCACUGUGAGUGGGGGAAAGGGGGGCACCUGGGUCCCAGGAAGGGGCCCCUUCUGAGUCCUGUCCUCCCUCCCCUCAGACCCUCCACAGCUGCUGGGCCCCUCCUGCUCCUGGGAGGCUGAGGGUCUGCAUUGCAGCUGCUCUUCCCAAGCCAGCCCGGCCCCCUCUCUGCGCUGGUGGCUUGGGGAGGAGCUGCUGGAGGGAAACAGCAGCCAGGACUCCUUCGAGGUCACCCCCAGCUCAGCCGGGCCCUGGGCCAACAGCUCCCUGAACCUCCAAGGAGGGCUCAGCUCUGGCCUCAGGCUCAGCUGUGAGGCCUGGAACAUCCAUGGGGCCCAGAGUGGAUCCAUCCUGCAGCUGCCAGAUAAGAAGGGACUCAUCUCAACGGCAUUCUCCAACGGAGCGUUUCUGGGAAUCGGCAUCACGGCUCUUCUUUUCCUCUGCCUGGCCCUGAUCAUCAUGAAGAUUCUACCAAAGAGACGGACUCAGACAGAGACCCCGAGGCCCAGGUUCUCCCGGCACAGCACGAUCCUGGAUUACAUCAAUGUGGUCCCGAAGGCCGGCCCCCUGGCUCAGAAGCGGAAUCAGAAAGCCACACCAAGCAGUCCUUCUCGGACCCCUCUUCCACCAGGUGCUCCCUCCCCAGAAUUAAAGAAGAACCAGAAAAAGCAGUAUCAGUUGCCCAGUUUCCCAGAACCCAAAUCAUCCACUCAAGCCCCAGAAUCCCAGGAAAGCCAAGAGGAGCUCCAUUAUGCCACGCUCAACUUCCCAGGCGUCAGACCCAGGCCUGAGGCCCGGAUGCCCAAGGGCACCCAGGCGGAUUAUGCAGAAGUCAAGUUCCAAUGAGGGUCUCCUAGGCUUUAGGACUGGAACCUCGGCUAGGGAGGAAGGUAGAGUAAGAGGUUGAAGAUAACAGAGUGCAAAGUUUCCUUCUCUCCCUCUUUCUCUCUCUCUCUCUCUUUCUCUCUCUCUUUUUAAAAAAAAAGUCUGACCAGGCACAGUGGCUCACACCUGUAAUCCCAGCACUUUGGGAGGCCGAGGCAGGCAGAUUGCCUGAGGUCGGGAGUUCGAGACCAGCCUGGCCAACUUGGUGAAACCCCCGUCUCUACUAAAAACACAAAAAUUAGCUGGGCAUGGUGGCAGGCGCCUGUAAUCCUAGCUACUUGGGAAGCUGAGGCAGGAGAAUUGCUUGAACCUGGGAGCCAAGAUCACACCAUUGCACGCCAGCCUGGGCAAUAAAGCGAGACUCCAUCUCAAAAAAAAAAAAAAAAAAAAUCCUCCAAAUGGGUUGGGUGUCUGUAAUCCCAGCACUUUGGGAGGCUGAGUUGGGUGGAUUGCUUGAGCCCAGGAGUUUGAGACCAGCCUGGGCAACAUGGUGAAACCCCAUCUCUACAAAAAAUACAAAAUAUAGCUGGGCUUGGUGGUGUGUGCCUGUGGUCCCAGCUGUCAGACAUUUGAACCAGAGCAACUCCAUCUGGAAUAGGGGCUGAAUAAAAUGAGGCUGAGACCUACUGGGCUGCAUUCUCAGACAGUGGAGGCAUUCUAAGUCACAGGAUGAGACAGGAGGUCGGUACAAGAUACAGGUCAUAAAGACUUUGCUGAUAAAACAGAUUGCAGUAAAGAAGCCAACCAAAUCCCACCAAAACCAAGUUGGCCACGAGAGUGACCUCUGGUCGUCCUCACUGCUACACUCCCGACAGCACCAUGACAGUUUACAAAAGCCAUGGCAACAUCAGGAAGUUCCCCGAUAAGUCCUAAAAGGGGGAGGAAUGAAUAAUCCACCCUUUGUUUAGCAAAUAAUCAAGAAAUAACCAUAAAAGUGGGCAACCAGCAGCUCUAGGAGCUGCUCUUGUCUAUGGAGUAGCCAUUCUUUUGUUCCUUUACUUUCUUAAUAAACUUGCUUUCACCUU